GCGUUUUAUGGAGACUGUUGGAGCGGUGUGGGAGCGGCGGUCCAGCAGUAGCAAAUGAGAUGGAAUCUCAAAGGUGUUAAGGCUCGCAGGCGUGGGAGCGUACGCUCUGGGGGGAGGCGCGUGGUUUUCUUUUUAACAACAGGCUGUAGUUGGAUGCCGGCUAGUAUCCCUAGGCGGAAGUGACACCUCCGGAUUUGUUAAGCCUCCGGGUGACUCGCGUAACUGUUUUGACAUGCAGAUCGGUGAGAUGCGCACCAAAGAGUGACGGGGGAGAUGGAGAGCCACAAGCAAAGUAGGAUUUUGGCACCGGAGGCAGCUUGGGCGAGGUGGCACGCGAGCCUUGACGUGACAACUGGAAACAGCAGCGGCAGGGCAGGUGAAGGGCCGAGUUUUUUGCAGGUGCCGCAGAUGGCCGCGGAGGGGCCGAGCCGCACGCAGACCGACAGUCUGAGAAGGUGCUUUGGGAGCCGCCUUUGGGAUCGGAUGAGCGUUUGAAGCGAGCCGGGGUAACGCCAGCGACGACGGCUGCAGCAUCUGACUCUGCAAAGAGCCGGUGAAGAGGAAGGCGGCAACUGCAGGAACGUGCUAGUUAGCUGCCGCGCUGCUUUUGUCGAGGAUGGAAUCGGACCUCCGGCCCUGUGAAAGCUAAGUCGACCGAACGGGGCCGCGAGGAGGGGCCGAGGUUGGGAAUUGCAGGGGAGUGUUUGAAAGUUAGCACGGGGGAGAAGGCUGUACGGGAGCGGGGCCCUCCGGUCAGGUAAAGGUAACGGAUUACUUUUUCCCCUCGAUGUUAGCGUGUCCCGGGCAGGGCAGUUCCAGCCUCUGCGUGUGUCAUCGUGUAGUUUGUUUCUUCUGUCUGCCGUGUCUUUGCCCUUCCUCGGCUCUAAAUGUCCUCGCGUCUCUUUGGGCUCGAGGAGCUCGGCACGCGUCUCGGGGGCCAUCCCUAGGGUUUCGAACGCCCAUCUUCAUCGGCACGCUGCCGAUCGGGUGCUUUUUUUAUUCUUGCGUUAUGAGCUUAAAGCGUGGGUAGGUCUUGGAAGUUUCCGGUCGGGAGUCUUUUGCGCAGCAUCGUCGCAGGCUCUGGCGUCAGCUCUGCUAUUUAGGCAUCCGUUGUUCCUGCCGGUGACUUCUUUCCCGUAUCCUGACGUUCUUAGGUCUUGAAGCCCAUCUUCUUGCGUACCCAUCGUCUCGGUUUUGACGGUAGCUUCUCGUAAGGGGCCGUUCCACUUAGUGCUUCUUGUAGGCUGCCGUAUAGCCUCCUCACGUCGCCAUCGUGGCCCUCCGAGUCUUCUCGCCUUACGGCAUACCCUUCUGGGUGUCCUUAUCGCUUAGCGUUUAGUCCUCUUUGAAUCGCGUCAUUUGUAGUAUUUUGUGUGUGUCUGUGUGGCUCGGAGCUGCUCUGCCUGGGGAUGUGGAGUCUCAGGGAUAGGUGGAAUAGAGUUCACGGGUACACUGUAUGGGUUUGUUUUAAAUAAGAAAACGAAUCCUCCAACUGGGUGACAUCUUUGUCUCCCCGGUGGGGUUUAUUUUCACCCAGUCGCAGAUGCUCUCUGAGGGUGACGGUCGCGGUCAGCGUCUGGGUGAAGGUCAGGUUUGGGCCGGGAUUUCCUCAGGCUAGGCGCUCGAGUCCCCCAGGAACGGUAUUCAGGGGGUGACUGCCCGUCGUGACGGUUGGGCGGAAGGAUGGGCCGGUGGAGAGUGGGGGUUGGUUUUGGCGGUAGGUGGAAUAGCGGCAUGUUUAGAACGUGUCUAGCUGUGUAAGAGUAUUUGUCGUCUCUUUUCUUCCAGGAUGUAGGCGGGGCUCAAUUUGACUACGUAGACUGGAUUUAAUGAAAACCUCUGUCAGGGGAAUAAACUUCUGUUUUUUCCUGUC